CCCUUAGAUGUUCUGGGCCGCACGCGCGCUACACUGAUGCAUUCAACGAGCCUAGCCUUGACCGAGAGGUCCGGGUAAUCUUUGAAACUGCAUCGUGAUGGGGCUAGAUUAUUGCAAUUAUUAAUCUUCAACGAGGAAUGCCUAGUAAGCGUGAUUCAUCAAAUCGCGUUGAUUACGUCCCUGCCCUUUGUACACACCGCCCGUCGCUCCUACCGAUUGAGUGUUUUGGUGAGGAGUUUGGAUUGGCCUCGGAAGGUGGUUCGCCACCGUCCGUAGCUGAGAAGUUCUCCAAACCGCCCCACUUAGAGGAAGGAGAAGUCGUAACA
rnacentral:rRNA from 1 species